UACGUAGGGGGCGAGCGUUGUCCGGAUUUAUUGGGCGUAAAGAGCGUGUAGGCGGCCAGGUAGGUCCGUUGUGAAAACUCGAGGCUCAACCUCGAGACGUCGGCGGAAACCCUCUGGCUAGAGUCCGGAAGAGGAGAGUGGAAUUCCUGGUGUAGCGGUGAAAUGCGCAGAUAUCAGGAAGAACACCCGUGGCGAAGGCGGCUCUCUGGGACGGUACUGACGCCGAGACGCGAAAGCGUGGGGGAGCAAACAGG
rnacentral:rRNA from 1 species